rnacentral:tRNA from 1 species
ACUUAAAUAGUUUAUUUAAAAUAUUGAUUUGUGAUGUCAAAGAUAUGUUGUUAUUUUAGGUA